rnacentral:rRNA from 1 species
AAUAUUGGACAAUGGGCGAAAGCCUGAUCCAGCCAUGCCGCGUGUGUGAAGAAGGUCUCCGGAUUGUAAAGCGCUUUAAGCUGGGAGGAAGGGUUGUAGGUUAUUACCUUGCUGUUUGGACGUUACCGCCAGAACAAGCCCCGGCUAACUUCGUGCCAGCAGCCGCUGUAAUACGAAGGGUGCAAGCGUUAAGCGGAAUUAUUGGGCGUAACGCGCGCGUAGGUGGUUCGUUAAGUUGGAAGUGAAAGCCCCGGGCUCAACCAGGGAACUGCAUCCAUAACUGCUGGGCUAGAGUACGGUAGAGGGUAGUGGAAUUUCCUGUGUAGCGGUGAAAUGCGUAGAUAUAGGAAGGAACACCAGUGGCGAAGGCGACUACCUGGACUGAUACUGACACUGAGGUGCGAGAGCGUGGGGAGCAAACAGG